rnacentral:misc_RNA from 1 species
AGCUUUGCGUUUUGGCCGCAUGAAGUCACUAAAAUCAAUUUGGGGUUCACUAGUCACUCCUGUAAACCUUUAAUUAACCUGCAUGUCAUUUUCUGUGAGUGUUCUUCGUUAAUAUAAACAAAAUGGUUUAGAACUGUAUGAAACGCUACGAAAAUCGCACCCUUUGUUUGUCCGUUAAAUUACUAAUUUUCAUCGCCUAUUAUCAUGUGGAAGUGUCACAAAUGCGGGAAACCCGUUUAUUUCGCUGAACGUAAACAGUCAUUGGGAUAUGAUUGGCAUCCGGAAUGUUUGCGAUGUGAAGAAUGUGGAAAACGAUUGAAUCCUGGCCAACAUGCAGAGCACAAAGGUGUACCCUAUUGUCAUGUUCCUUGUUAUGGAGCAUUAUUUGGACCUCAACUAUUUGGUCAUGGAACAAGAGUAGAAUCACAUACUAGCUUUGGAAAAAAAGAAAGUCGACCAUCAUUACCAAGAUCACAUUUGGAAUCAAAGUUGAAAGUUUUCAACCAGUAUUAUGAAGGUAAAAGUGGGGGAAUUCGAAGCCGUGAGGUUAAUGGAAGAUUGGUAUUAGAAGGUGCAUUAAGAAUUUAUUGGGGAGUUCGUGGAGUGAUUCAUCUGAAGGAAGAUGACGAUCAACGUACAGUAGUUACAGCACGGAACAGAAAUUCAUGUAGGCACAGUGUUUCUGAGGAUAUUGAAGAUGAGGAUAAAAUAGACGAACUGUCUAAGAAUCCAUCAGACAGUAAUAUGGAGAAUAAUGCAAAGUCCGUCCCGAUGUCUCCUGAUCAUUUGAAAAGUCUCACUCUGCCUAUGAAACUGGAUGUCAAGACUAUGGAAUGGGACGAACUGGAUGAGUUGCUACAGGUCGAACGUAAAGUCGAAGAUGGAAACAAAUUGUAUCAAACUAUGCCCGAGAAUCUCCCGUCGAUAAGUUCGCAGUCCAGUAUGGACACACCACCACUCUCAUCUCAGUCGAGCCUCGAUCGAUCUGAUUCUCGCGAAAAUUCAGAUACAAGCAGUCCAAAUCAUCAAUCGGCUAGCCGGGAUAACGACAGUAGUAUGAACAGCACGCCGACACACAGCAUAGGUAGUUCUUCCAGUACAGACACACCUGUCAAUUUAGGAGCUAAUCGAAACGGUACGCUUCGAAGAGUAGAGUACUUUGACAACUUGGAGAAAGGUAGUGCCGUUGGCGGCAGUAGAUCUAUCGACACUGACGACAGUUGGAUCGAAAAGGGUUUGAACCGAUCUCUGUCAGGUCCCGACUGUCUUCAGAGACACAGAACGGACAGCGACACGGAUUCAGUAAACUCCUUGCAAUUUAGGGAAGAUGAUAACAUGACUAUGUCCACGGACAGUGGAUUAGAGCUGGACGGUGUCGUUUUACGCCGUAAACAAGGUUCCACCGCGAUCAGACGACGACCAGGCGGUAAACGUCAGUCUCGCAGUCGACUACGACGCCGUUGUUCGAUCAAUGGUCACUUUUACAAUCGAGAGACCAGUUUUUUCACUCCGCCUCACGGCUCGCAAAUGUCUGUCUGGGUAACGAGCCUAGUAAAUACCCAGGAAGUAAUCAAUCUUAUGUUGGACAAAUACAAAGUUGACGCCAAGUCCGAUAAUUUUGCAUUAUUUGUGGUGCGCGACAAUGGUGAGCAAAGGAGGUUAAGAGACGACGAGUAUCCUUUAGAAGUGAGAGUGAUCUUGGGUCCGCACGAGAACGUUGCUCGACUGUUCCUGGUCGAUAAAUUGUCUACACCUGAGAUCAGCUCGGACGUCGCACAAUUUCUCAAUCUGUCUCUAGCGGAAUGCCACGGCAUAUUGCAGCGCUACCACUACGAGGAAGAACGUCAGAUUGUUCUCUUGAGAGAGAAAUAUAAAGAAAUGCGAAGAAGAAUAAAGCAAAGAAUGGAGGAGCUGAAAGUCCGUUUGUAAGUGGAAUCUCGAGUAAACAUGUGGAUGUUUACGCAAUUAUUUUUAUAUCGAUAGAACGUUCUCAAUGGCGUUCAUUGUAAGAUAUUCAUGCGGCAAAAAUCUACAAAACGCGUACCGAGACAAGGUCCCCACCAUAACUUUCCGAACGAUUGAAAAAUUAACAAGAAGCAGGAACACAUCUUCAAUUCGUUUCGCAACACAGGCGAGACAAAUUGAGGACUCGAACUAUGUUAGUACGAGGUAGUUAUCGAUUAUAUAUUGAUAUUGAAAUUAUAUAACGACGGAGAAUUAUUCGGUACUUUGAAUGUUGUUCAUAAUCGAUCAUACUCACGACGAAUAGGACGUUGUGUUUCAUUGUAAUUUUUCAGCAUUCCGAUAUCUUGACGAAGUGAUAAAAGUAAGCAAUGAGAAGGUAUUUUUCUAUCGGCUUUUUAGAGGGGAUCCUUUUAUCGAACAAGAGGUCACUUUAAUCGAAUAGAGAUCGAUAAUAAUAAUAAUAACUGUUACGAAUUUGAAGUCUUCUAUCCUUUGCAUGUCAACGUGGCCCAGAUAAGUGGACACAGCCUGUGCACAAUUGUUGUCAGAUAUUCUGAUACCGCAGUCCGAGACUAUUGUUGGGCGAAACAAAUUGCAGGGCAAAACAAAAUGCCGCCGAUGCAGCAGCAAUUAAUCGCCGGAACACCGCACGCGUCGCGUCAAUGGAAUCGCCGUUUCAAGCUAGUCAUGUUUCACGCUUAGUCACUGAUAUCGAUUGUCCAUCGCAUUUUCAACUAGAGGCCAAACGAAGCGACGUACACUGAGCCACGUUUACGUACAUUACGAGAUAUAUGUAUAUGUAUAUGUAUACGCUUUCGAUCUGCCAGUUUAGAACAAUAAAUACGCGACACGUCACGGUGUAAUAAAGAUAUAUUGAUAUAACGCAGGUAUUUAGAAUACAUGUGCAUGCUUGGGCUUUCACCGUGUAUAUUAUACAGUGUUAUUAUACAGGGUGUCCCACGCAAGACGGCGCGUAAUCAUUCGAGCGCAAGUAAAACUGGUUAGACUGAAAAAGUCCUGUUCCACUUUUAAAACAAUUACAUAAAAUAUCGAAUUAUUAUUGAAAGAAGAUUGACGAGCCAGCAUGCGCGACGCAUGUGGGACGGUGAAGUCGCAUAGAAAGUGAUUGAUUAUUUCUUAGCAGCGAUCAGUAUUGGAUGCUACGACCAACCAUUGUUUACGCGUCGUCGCGGAAGUUUUUAUACACCUUGCAUACAUAUACACACAUAUAGGCUGUACGAAAAGUUUCGGGACGGCGAAAUAUCUCGGACAAUGUAAAUUUUAUAUAUAAAAAAAAAAUUCAAGUAAAAGUUGUAGAGUUUGAGAAGAUCUAUUUACCUCAAUUAAAGUUUGACCCAGAGCGGCGUUGCCAAAGUCAAGAUCACCUUGAAUGUUCUAAAAUAAGGAAUCCUCUAUUUUACAUAUUCUUAUAACCCUUUUAUAUUAUCACUCGUAUUAUACUAUAUGGUGCUUUGAUGAGGGUGCGUAUCAGUUACUUGAAAUAUUGGUAUUUACUGGGUGCGGACCAAUUGUUUAGAUACAAGAAUGAUCUCAAAUUAGUUAAUCGCCAUCAGCAUUAGCAUUGCCCGAUGUACCUCGCGAGGAAGCUGCUUGAUUCGACUUUGCACAUCACGUAAUCAGCUCUUAGAAGGGCUGUUCGUACGGGAUAUGUAGGAUGAGAGUCAGACUGAGACUGAAUAGUGCACAAGCGAAUAGUGGGGGGCAAGCUGAUUAUCACCCUCUCCUCAUACUUCCAUCAUAUCCUACUCCUACUUUACCCCAUACUCCACACACAUUACCUAUCAUCCUCUUCUCCAUACACUAUAAUACGAUAAUAGAGAAAUCUCUGCUUAUUUAAUUUGGGUGAAGCUAUAUCUCAUUAUAAAAAAGCUCGACAACUUUGAGACAGCUGCUCCAAAAAGGAUAAAAUUAUAAUACUUUGGAAAGGUCCCAAAAGAAGAAUGUACAAUAAAAAAAAUAGGGUGUUCCACUUAAGAAAGCUCAAAGCAAUCUUGACUUGAAUUUAGCGACGCUGUUCAAGGUUAAACUGAUAAGGCCAAUAAAUUUAAACCCUACGACUUUUGUUCGAGACAUUUUUCUAUAGAACUUCUUUUUUCGAGACAUUUUGUCGUCCCAGAAUUUUUUAUACGUCCUAUACAUACACAUAUAGGGUAUCUUAUAAAAAUAGGGAGUUCUACUUAAAAAAGUUUAAAGCAAUCUCGACCUGAAUUUAGCGACGCCAUUCGAGAUCAAACUGAUAAGGCCAAUAAAUAUAAACCCUACGACUUUUGUUCGAGACAUUUUUUUAUAGAACUUUUUUUCGAGACAUUUUGCAGUCCUGGAAUUUUUUAUAUGUCCCGUAUAUACAUAUAUAAAGUAUCCUAAGAUUGACGCCCACUGCGAGAAUACUGUGCAAUUUUCCGUACCAGAGAAUGUAAUUAUCUCCUUUGGUAAAAUUUCUUUCGAACGAUAAUUUUUAAGUAAAAGUACUUGUUUCGUAAAGUUCAUGCAUCCUAUAUUAUGUGUGGAUCAAGAAUAAUAUAUCUUUUGCAGUCGCCGACAUGACGACUUAUAUUGGAUAUGUAAUCUUGUAUUUUGCUAAAAACUUUACAAAAAUUUUCCAAGGAUUUUACAAAAGAUUAUACAACUAUUCAAGACAAUAUGGAUACAUGCGAUCGUGUUGCAAAACACGAUGAAUUAUGGAAUAGCAUAUAAUUCACAUGUGCUGUGGAUAAACUGACGAAAUGAUACAAUUGAUUCUCAGCUUUCUGACUCUGUCAUUGAAAUUUCUUAAACUUCUUUUGCCACAACCAUCCACGUUUUGUCCAUGUGCAGUAUAUUUCCGGCAAAUGCUUCCGUUGCCUUUUCUCCGUAUAGCCGAGUCUUUAAAUAUUAAAUAAUGUUUCUCUUAAAAUGAUGGUAAUAUUCAGAUAUUACGCACGUGUGGGUUCGUGAUAAAUUUUUUGCAAAAUGCGAGAAAAAUGGUUUGUCUCGCACGAUGACUUGCGAUUCCGUUAUUUGCGAGCGCAUACUGCCCUUGAUUCACGCGCAACUUACAACUCUGAAAUUCGUGGAAUUUUAAAUUGCUCAUUUAAAACUAUUGUUCGCAUGUAACUUUGCCGUAGGAAAAAGUUGCGUUUUCUGAUACAGAAAAUCGCACACGAGGUGCACUCCGUGAGUGCGAAUUUCAGGAUACCCUCUGCGUGUGCGUGUGCGUGUGCGUGUAUAUGUGAGUACGCGCGUGCGCAUGUGCAAACAAAAAGCGAAACAAACAAUACAAGAAAAACAAACGAAAAAGAGGAAAGAUAUAUAUUAAAGGAUAUAAUAAUCGUUAGAUCAUAGGCAGCUUUUGCUCUAACAGUAAGGAAAAUGUAAUCGUGUAAUCAUAUAUUAAUUAACAGAACAAAUCACGUUCAUUGGGACGUGUAACGUGGGUUAGAGUAAACUUUCCAAUUCGCCCUGAUUAACCUUUUUCUAUUGCUGAUAUACAUGAAUAAAUAAAAGAAAUAUUAACGAAUAUAAUAGAUAGGGUAGGUAGGGAAAUAGAUACGCGAGCGUACAUAUUUUUCCGUGCGCCGAUUAUGGCUCAGUUUCACUUGGCGAUCGCGUCAUUCUAUUCUUGUUUUUCAAUGGACAUUAGAAACAGAAUGACGUUCACCUACGCCGACGCGAUUGCCAAGUAGAAUUUAGCCUCUGACAGAUGUAACAGAUGAAAAUACUCCGUAACCAUGACAUUAUUGAGGGCACGUUUUAGGUGAAAGAGAUACGAAAUCGAGAUUAAAUGUUCGAGUAUUAAGCAUAUUGUAAAAGAAAGAAACUGAUCGAACCGAGAAGGAAUUAUGUAGUACCGUUGAAACAAAAAAUUAAUGAAA